rnacentral:misc_RNA from 1 species
CUUUUGACAGAGGAACUCUGUCAGGGUGGAUUUUAUCCAAAGCCAAGAAAGACGAUACCGAUGAUGAAAUUGCCAAAUAUGAUGGAAAGUGGGAGGUAGAGGAAAUGAAGGAGUCAAAGCUUCCAGGUGAUAAAGGACUUGUGUUGAUGUCUCGGGCCAAGCAUCAUGCCAUCUCUGCUAAACUGAACAAGCCCUUCCUGUUUGACACCAAGCCUCUCAUUGUUCAGUAUGAGGUUAAUUUCCAAAAUGGAAUAGAAUGUGGUGGUGCCUAUGUGAAACUGCUUUCUAAAACACCAGAACUCAACCUGAUAAAUGUGGAGAGGACUAUAAACUGCACUUCAUCUUCCGACACAAAAACCCCAAAACGGGUAUCUAUGAAGAAAAACAUGCUAAGAGGCCAGAUGCAGAUCUGAAGACCUAUUUUACUGAUAAGAAAACACAUCUUUACACACUAAUCUUGAAUCCAGAUAAUAGUUUUGAAAUACUGGUUGACCAAUCUGUGGUGAAUAGUGGAAAUCUGCUCAAUGACAUGACUCCUCCUGUAAAUCCUUCACGUGAAAUUGAGGACCCAGAAGACCGGAAGCCCGAGGAU